UCCCAAGUCACGUGACCACCACAGCCAAAGUCCAGCGUGCGCGAGACGUCACUGACUGCGCCGACUGACAGCGAGCGAUGUAAAUAAUCACACUUUUCUGCCUGUCAUGGAUUAACUGCUAUAAAGCCCGAUAUGUUUCCAUUGCAGCCAAGACCUGCUGGCUCAUCAUGGCUUCAUCUUCCAGCUUUGCCCCUCCAAAACUGGAUGACUUCAUCCUGACAGAGCGGCUCGGUAGCGGAACAUAUGCCACAGUCUACAAGGCCUACAGAAAGCAGGGGGAUAAUCGAGAAGCGGUGGCCGUGAAGGUGGUCGCCAAGAAGACACUGAACAAGGCGUCCACAGAGAACCUGCUCACGGAGAUUGAGAUCCUCAAGACUGUGCGCCACCCUCAUAUUGUCCAGCUGAAAGACUUUGUGUGGGAUUCGGAGAACAUCUAUCUGAUCCUGGAGUGGUGUUCCGGUGGAGAUCUGUCCCGUUUCAUCCGCAGUCGCCGGAUCCUGCCAGAGGGAGUCGCCCGACGUUUUCUGCAGCAGAUAGCUUGUGCUCUUCAGUAUCUCCAUGACCGAAAUAUCUCCCAUUUGGAUUUGAAACCACAGAACAUUUUGCUAUGUGGUUCAAUCCUCAAAUUAGCAGACUUUGGCUUCGCCCAGUACAUGUCACCAUGGGACGAGAAGAGCGUGCUGAGAGGCUCACCUUUGUAUAUGGCUCCCGAGAUGGUGUGUCGGCGCCAGUAUGACUCCAGAGUGGAUCUCUGGUCCGUGGGAGUCAUUCUUUAUGAGGCACUGUUUGGACGGGCUCCUUUUGCAUCAAGGUCGUAUUCAGAAUUGGAAGAGAAGAUCCGAAGUAAUCACCCCAUUGAGCUCCCACCUGGCGCCAAGGUCUCCAAGCACUGCCGAGACCUCCUCCUGCGUCUCCUCGACAGGAAUCCAGAUACCCGGAUCACAUUCGCCGAGUUCUUCACGCACCCCUUUGUGGACAUGGAGCACAUGCCGAGUGCUGAGAGCUUAGGGAAGGCGAAAGAACUGGUCCUACAGGCCGUCCAGAAGGACCAGGAUGGCGAGAGAUCAGCCGCGCUUUCGCUAUACUGCAGCGCCUUGGAGCACUUUGUCCCCGCUAUUUACCAUGAAACCGACAUACAGCGUAAAGAAGUCCUCAGGAAAAAGGUGCGUCAGUACGCUUCCCGAGCGGAAGAGCUGAAGGCUUUGGUAGCCUCGGACAACAAGCUCAUCUUCGAGGAGGCGCGCACUUCCACGGACAUCCUCCGGGAAAUGUCUCGUGAGCAUCCACGAUUGCUGGCGGCGGUGGAGAUGGCCUCUGUCGCCAUCGCUAAGGAGCAAAGCGGAGUGGACGACAAUGAGGCCUUGGAUAGAUAUCAGAAUUGUUUAGGAGAACUUCUGUUGGCGCUUGCAGGUGAGCCGCAGGGUCGCCGCCGAGAGCUGCUGCACGGCGAGCAAAUUUGGCACCGUACUUCCGUGAGCUUGGAGGUCUCACCGGAGAGUAAAAAAAAAAAAACUUGCAUUCCACACUGCUGCAGCAGGGACUCAGACAUCCUGUCUUGUGCUGCCGAGUACAGAUUAAAAGCCUCAUGAGCAGAGCAGAGUACCUCAAGAAGAACAUUAAGAUGCAGGAGACUCAAAGGGACGCCUCGUUGGAUCGGGAACCCCUGGCCGACUCGGUUAGAAGCUCGUGCUGUUUGCAGUAAACCUGAAGAAAACCAGCUGGCUUGGACUUUGGCUAGUCAGACCGAGCCAACCCCCCCCCCCCCCCUAUUAGUUCUGUGCUCCAUGCCAAAUCAAACUUGCAUCCCCACCUCACCUUCAACAUCUCUGGAGUCGGCCUUGCAAGAAGCGCUCAAUGUUUUGGUUGUUGCCGCGAGAGCUAGCUGCAAAAUACUGUAACGGGUUUGUUUUCCUGCUAACACACUGUGGAUGUAUGAUAACUGUUUACAACAUUUUAAGAUCGAUUUACAUAAUAUAUAUCUAUAAUGGUUUUUUUUUUUUUUUUUUUUUACUGUCAUCUGGCACAAUUGAGAUGUGCAAAAGGAGAAAAACUGUCAAUCUGACUUUUGGACCGCUUCCAAAAAAAGUCUAAUCCCGAACUAUGCUUCAAUUGACUUCCGAGGGUCCACUGUAGUUCACGCCCCCCCUCUCACCCUCCUCACGCCUCCACUGUGGCCUAACCGCAGGCUCGCCAUGUCCUCUCCACUGAUGGACGCCAUUCCCACCGCCAUGAAAGAAGAGAUGGAGAGGUGCGGCCCGGGCGCUGUUGACUCUACAGCAGCAGGUUUGGCCAGCGCCCCGGCCAGUGUAUGUGUGUGCGCACAUUUGUAUGACACUGACACACACAAGACACACUGGCCCUAAACGAAAGACUGAUAAUCCUCGCCGUUGGAGGUCUGGGCACGCUGUUUUGAUUUCCAACAUAUGUUGUAAUAUUCAAAAAGAGCCUUAAUUACGAGGGAAAAGUCUAAAUAUGUACGUUGGCAGCACCUAUACGCUGCUCCGUUGUUUAAUUUUGUGUUUUGAAUGUUGACGCAGCUGUCAUUUGAAUAAUGACUGUGUAUUUAAUAAAGGAGAAGAAGAAGGCGAGCGGGAAAUAAAAAUGACUGUUGGAACCUUCUGGA